UACGGAGGGUGCAAGCGUUAUCCGGAUUCACUGGGUUUAAAGGGUGCGUAGGUGGGUUUGUAAGUCAGUGGUGAAAUCUCCAGGCUUAACCUGGAAACUGCCAUUGAUACUAUAGAUCUUGAAUUUUCUGGAGGUAAGCGGAAUAUGUCAUGUAGCGGUGAAAUGCUUAGAUAUGACAUAGAACACCAAUUGCGAAGGCAGCUUGCUACAGGAAUAUUGACACUGAGGCAACGAAAGCGUGGGGAUCAAACAGGA
rnacentral:rRNA from 1 species